AGAGAAUGGGACCUGAGUUGUGAGAAAUCUCAUUCAUCCAUCAGCAGAAACUUGCAAAAUAUUAAAGGGACAGGAAAUUCAUAGAAAAGAAAGCAUAAUAAGUAAAAUCUUAAAAGAAAAGAGGCAUAGGGAUCACAUGGAAACCAUAAGUCACAAAUGCAAAAUUGAAGGAUUUUUUAAAAAGACGUAAUGUUAUAAGGAAAUUCAUUUCUUUCUUAUUUUUCUAGUCUUCCCAUUCAUUACUAGAGUUUGGAAAUGUAAUAAGAAUACAUCACAUAGUUAUGAAGAAGCCAGUGUGCAGUGGUGAAGUAAUGGUUUUUGGAGUGAGAGAAAUCUGAGUUGAAAGUUGGCUCUGCUUCCAUGUGACUGAGGGAGAAGAGCCCAGGAACAAUUGAAAAAAUAGUGGAAUUUGGAUGAUGCGUACAAUCUAGAGGGCUCAGCCCCUAAAGUUGAUUACUGAAGGAAUCGUACACAAAUGUUUAGCCUGAGCUCACUACAAAAUUGAUUAGCCUUCUGCUUCACUUCUUCUGCCUUAAAAUGGCUUAGCUUAAAAAUCUGACUUAAUAAACAAGGCAAUGGAGGAAAUCCAAGCAACUAAUCCUAUUUCACUGACUCUUCUAAUGGUUGUCAGGAGCAUUCAGGGAAGGCCAUAUGUAGAGAAUGCUCUAUUAUGGUUGUUUAAUGGUUGAAACAGUAAUUCUGAAGUUUUUGCCAGUAUAUUUAAAUUCAGAAAUCACUGAAAAGCAUCAGAAUCUCAGAAUGUACUGUAAUGGACUGAUAGCAGACACUCCAGCACAUUUGUGUGCAAUCACACAUACAUUUGGUGUUAGGACUCAAUUAUUAGAAACACAUCAUUCUUCCCUGAAAUAGCAUAAUAGAAUUCAUAGGCAGAAGUUAGAAUUCUCACAUGUGCCACAGAUCUAAAAACAUUCAUGUAGGCAGCCAUGCGGACAGCCUGUUCUCCAGGAAACAAAUAAUCUGGUAAUAAUGACUAUCUAUCUAACAGUAAC
rnacentral:lncRNA from 1 species